rnacentral:rRNA from 1 species
GACGAACGCUGGCGGCGUGCUUAACACAUGCAAGUCGAACGAUGAAGGAGGAGCUUGCUCCUCUGGAUUAGUGGCGAACGGGUGAGUAACACGUGAGCAAUCUGCCCUUGACUCUGGGAUAAGCGCUGGAAACGGCGUCUAAUACCGGAUACGACCCUCGGAGGCAUCUCCUGUGGGUGGAAAGAACUUCGGUCAAGGAUGAGCUCGCGGCCUAUCAGCUUGUUGGUGCGGUAAUGGCUCACCAAGGCGACGACGGGUAGCCGGCCUGAGAGGGUGACCGGCCACACUGGGACUGAGACACGGCCCAGACUCCUACGGGAGGCAGCAGUGGGGAAUAUUGCACAAUGGGCGCAAGCCUGAUGCAGCAACGCCGCGUGAGGGACGACGGCCUUCGGGUUGUAAACCUCUUUUAGCAGGGAAGAAGCGAGAGUGACGGUACCUGCAGAAAAAGCACCGGCUAACUACGUGCCAGCCGCCGCGGUAACAC